rnacentral:rRNA from 1 species
AGUCGAGCGGGGAAGGGUAGCUUGCUACCUGACCUAGCGGCGGACGGGUGAGUAAUGCUUAGGAAUCUGCCUAUUAGUGGGGGACAACAUUCCGAAAGGAAUGCUAAUACCGCAUACGCCCUACGGGGGAAAGCAGGGGAUCUUCGGACCUUGCGCUAAUAGAUGAGCCUAAGUCAGAUUAGCUAGUUGGUGGGGUAAAGGCCUACCAAGGCGACGAUCUGUAGCGGGUCUGAGAGGAUGAUCCGCCACACUGGGACUGAGACACGGCCCAGACUCCUACGGGAGGCAGCAGUGGGGAAUAUUGGACAAUGGGCGAAAGCCUGAUCCAGCCAUGCCGCGUGUGUGAAGAAGGCCUUUUGGUUGUAAAGCACUUUAAGCGAGGAGGAGGCUACUUGGAUUAAUACUCUAGGAUAGUGGACGUUACUCGCAGAAUAAGCACCGGCUAACUCUGUGCCAGCAGCCGCGGUAAUACAGAGGGUGCGAGCGUUAAUCGGAUUUACUGGGCGUAAAGCGUGCGUAGGCGGCUUUUUAAGUCGGAUGUGAAAUCCCUGAGCUUAACUUAGGAAUUGCAUUCGAUACUGGGAAGCUAGAGUAUGGGAGAGGAUGGUAGAAUUCCAGGUGUAGCGGUGAAAUGCGUAGAGAUCUGGAGGAAUACCGAUGGCGAAGGCAGCCAUCUGGCCUAAUACUGACGCUGAGGUACGAAAGCAUGGGGAGCAAACAGGAUUAGAUACCCUGGUAGUCCAUGCCGUAAACGAUGUCUACUAGCCGUUGGGGCCUUUGAGGCUUUAGUGGCGCAGCUAACGCGAUAAGUAG